rnacentral:rRNA from 1 species
AACCUUUAGACAAACAAAUAUUAAAGGCAACGCCUGCCCAGUGAAUAAUUAAACGGCCGCGGUACCCUAACCGUGCAAAGGUAGCAUAAUCAUUUGUCUACUAAUUAUAGACCAGUAUGAAAGGCAAAAUGAGGGUCCAACUGUCUCUUAUAAUAGAUCAAUGAAACUGAUCUCCUAGUAAAAAAGCUAGAAUUUACCCAUAAGACCAGAAGACCCUGUGAAGCUUAAACUAAACUAUUAAAGCGCAUAAUAACUACUUUCGGUUGGGGCGACCUUGGAAAAAAAAAGAACUUCCAAACACCACGAGCUCUACCUCGCACAAAUAGGCCCACAAGCCAACAAAAGACCCAGCAUAGCUGAGAAAUGAACCAAGUUACUCCAGGGAUAACAGCGCAAUCUUCUUCAAGAGCCCAUAUCAAAAAGAAGGUUUACGACCUCGAUGUUGGAUCAGGACAUCCUAAUGGUGCAGCCGCUAUUAAGGGUUCGUUUGUUCAACGAUUAACAGUCCU